rfam:Solanum lycopersicum cultivar Heinz 1706 chromosome 6, whole genome shotgun sequence.
UGACCCAAGGUCAGGCGGGAUUACACGCUAAGUUUAAGCAUAACAAUAAGCGGAGAAAAAGAAACUUACAAGGAUUACCCUAGUAACAGCGAGCGAACAAGGAAUAGCCCAGCCUUAGAAUCGGGCGGAUCCGUCUUUCGAAUUGUAGUCUAGAGAAGCGUCCUUAGCGGAAGACCGGGCCUAAGUCCCUUGGAAGGGGGCGCCGGAGAUGGUGAGAUCCCUGUCGUGCCCGGACCUUGUCUCACCACGAGGUGCUAUCUACGAGUCGGGUUACGAAUGCAGCUUAAAUCGAGCAGUGAAUUUCGUCCAAGGCUGAAUGCUGGUGAGAGACCGAUAGCGAACAAUUACCGCGAGGGAAAAAUGAAAAAGACUUUGAAAAUAGAGUCAAAGAGUUCUUGAAAUUGUCGGGAUUGAAGCGGAUGGGGGCCGGCGAUGUGCCCCGGUCAGAUGUGGAAUGGUGAUGAGCUGGUCCGCCGAUUGACUCAUGGCGUGGACAAGUGUGUAUUGGGGGAGCGGCCAAAGCCCAAGCUCUCGAUACCCCCGUGGAACGCCGUCUCCCUGAUUGUGGAAGGUAGCGCGCUCCUCCGGCAUGCUCUUGUAUCUGCAUGCUCCGGAUGCUGGCCUGUGGGCUCCCCAUUCAACCCGUCUUGAAACACGGACCAAGGAGUCUGACAUGUGUGCCAGUCAACAGGCGAGUAAACCCGUAAGGCAUAAGGAAGCUUAUUGGUGGGAUCCCACUGAGGGGUGCACAACCAACCGACCUUAAUCUUCUAGGAAGGGUUUGAGUGUGAGCAUACCUGUCGGGACCUAGAAGAUGGUGAACUUUGCCAGAGUGGGGCAGAGCCAGAGGAAACUCUGGUGGAGGACCGCCGCGAUACUGACGUGCAAAUCGUUCGUCUGACUUGGGUAUAGGGGCGAAAGACUAAUCGAACUGUCUAGUAGGUGGUUCCCUCCGAAGUUUCCCUCAGGAUUGCUGGAGCUUGCGUGCGAGUUCUAUCGGGUAAAGCCAAUGAUUAGAGGCCUCGGGGGCGCAACGCCCUCGGCCUAUUCUCAAACUUUAAAGAAGUAGGACAGUGCGGCUGCUUUGUUGAGCCGCGCCACAGAAUGAAGAGCUCCAAGUGGGCCAUUUUUGGUAAGCAGAACUGGUGAUGCGGGAUUAACCGGAAGCUAGGUUAUGGUGUCAAAAUGUGCGCUAACCUAGAUCCCACAAAGAGUAUUGGUCGAUUAAGACGGCAGGACGGUGGUCGUGGAAGUCAAAAUCCGCUAAGGAGUGUGUAACAACUCACCUGCUGAAUCAACUAGCCCCAAAAAUGGAUGGCAUUUAAAGGCGCGUCCUUCACCCAGCUGUCAGGGUAAGUGCAAGGCCCCAAUGAGUAGGAGGGCGCGGCGGGUCGGCCGUCGUCGGGCGUGGAAUGACAUCAUAGCCCUUGUACAACACACACGGUCGGACGACAUCGGGAGUGGCAUGCCAUCAUCGCCUUUGGACUAGCAGACACGGUCAGACGACAUGGGGAGUCGCAUGCUAUCAUCUCCUUUUGACUAGUUGACACGGACGGACGACGUCGGGCGUGGCAUGCCAUCAUUGCCCUUGGAUAGCACAGACGGUCGGCCUUUGUCGGGCGUGCCAUGCCAUCAUAGCCCUUGGACAGCACAAACGUUCGGCCGUCAUCGGACGUGCCUGCACAAAACGGUCGGACGUGGCAUGCCCGCAUCGGUCGUGGCUUGUGCGACAUUGUUCGAGUUCUAGACAAAGCAUGUGGAUAUUCAUGCCAUACAUAAAUCAAAGGAUUUUGAAACAACCUCCAUGCAUAACGAACAUAUUCAUCGACUUUCCAUUAUCUAUUUUUUAACGUUUCCGCCUUACGUGGCUCUUUCGCAUCAUUUUCAUUACUUUUACGAUUCCUACGAUAUUGAAACAUCUUUUAUUUGUGAAAAUAUAUAUCUUAUCAUUAAUUUGACAUGUUUAAAACUGUUUUCGAGCAUUUCCGUAUUUUUCUAACUUCUAAUCAUCAUUUUAUAAUUUAUAUUUAUGCUUUUUAAUAUUUUACAUCUCCUUUUAAAAAUUAAAAUAUAAUAAAUUUUUUAUUUUAAGGUUCCUAUAUUUAUUUGUGAAUUUUUGGAGUUAUUUCAUAUUUUUUUCGAUAUUUGCCCUAUUUUCUAUUAAUUUAUUACUAAUUUUUUGGAAUUUUCGAAAAAAAAUUUAAAAAAAUGUUGAAAAAUAUUUUUUAUAUAUAUUAAAGUCAUUUGUGAAAGCUGAUGUGUGUUUGUACCUUACAACGUGCAUUUUUGGGUUGUACAUUUCCAUUAUGAUUCUAUGGAAAAUCCAUGUCUACUCCUGUCACAUGGGUAAAACUUUUUUAAGCAUAUAGAAGGGGGGUAGAGGUGUUGGAGGCAGACUAAGGCGCAGGAAUGCAGAUCACAUAGGCGUCCCGGGGGCUUAGUAGGUGUGCUGCGUGGGUGCUUGAUGGCAUGCAUAUCUUGUCCAUGCUACGCCGUUGGGCGUUUACAAAAACACGUCGGCGAUGUCGACGGGUCGAGUGAGGCAAAGGCAGGCGGACAUCAAGGGCAUCCUGUGGGCUUAGUAGGCGUGCUGUGUGGGCGCUUUAUGGAAUGCAUGGCUCGUCCGUGCUACACCGUUGGGCGCUUGCAAAAUCAUGCCGACGACGUAUGCGGGGCGACUGAGGCUUUACAAGGAGGACGCCACUGGCGUUCUUUGGGCUUAGUAGGCGUGCUGCGUGGGUGCUUGACGACAUGCAUGGAUCGUCCGUGCUACGCCGUUGGGCGCUUACAAAAACAUGCCAGCAACGUCUGCGGGGCGACCGUGCGCCGCCAAGGGAACUUCUCAAGAUUGGUUUAUAAUAGCAUUUGGUGUGGAAAUGGCAGAACUUUUGGGCGAGUGGCGAGUUCUAGAGCUCCUCUUACAGCUAAAUCUAGGCGUCGCACACACGGAGCACGUAAGGCCAUGUACGGCCACGAGCCUGUCCGAAGACGAAGAGUUAUCUUUUCAGUUUAACAGCCUACCCACCCUUAAAUCCGCUCAGCCGGAGGUAGGGUCCAGCGCCUGGGAGAGCACCGCACGUUGCGUGGUUUCUGGUGCGCUUUCGGCGGCCCUUGAAAAUCCGGAGGACCGAAUGUCUUCCACGUCUGGUCGUACUCAUAACCGCAUCAGGUCUCCAAGGUGAAAAACCUCUGUUCGAUGGAACAAUGUAGGCAAGGGAAGUUGGCAAAAUGGAUCCGUAACUUUGGGAAAAGGAUUGGCUCUAAGGGCUGGGCACAAGUGUCCCAGUCCCGAACCCGUCGGAUGUCGGUGGACUACUUGAGUUGCUCCUGUGGUGAGAGCGGGUCAUCGCGUGCUAGACGGGGGAUGGAUUGGAAAUGGUUCCUUCAGGGCCUUCCCCAGGCGUCGAACAACCAACUCAAAACUUGUACGGACAAGGCAAAUCCGACUAUUUAAUUAAAACAAAGCAUUGCGAUGGUCCCAACAGAUGUUUACGCAAUGUGAUUUUUUCCCAGUGCUGUGAAUGUCAAAGUGAAGAAAUUCAACCAAGUGCGGGUAAACGGUGGGAGAAACUAUGACUCUCUUAAGGUAGCCAAAUGCGUCGUCAUCUAAUUAGUGACACACAUGAAUGAAUUAACAAGAUUCCCACUGUCCCUGUCUACUAUCCAGCGAAACCACCGCCAAGGGAACGGGCUUGCGAGAAUUAGCGGGGAAAAGAGACUCUGUUGAACUUGACUCUAGUCCGACUUUGUCAAAUGACUUGAGAGAUAUAGUAUAAGUGGGUGCCGAAAGGCAAAAGUGAAAUACCACUACUUUUAACGUUAUGUUACAUAUUAUGUUAAUCAGAAGUGGGGCACUGCCCUCCUUUUUUGACCCAAGGCUCGAUUCGGGGCCAAUCCAGCGGAAGACAUUGUAAGAUGGAGAGUUUGGCUGGGGUGGGACAUCUGUUAAAAGAUAACGCAGGUGUCCUAAGAUGAGCUCAACGAGAACAGAAAUCUCGUGUGGAAUAGAAGGAUAAAAUCUCGUUUGUUUCUGAUUUCCAGUACAAAUACGAAUCGUGAGAGCGUGGCCUAACGAUCCUUUAGGCCUUCAGAAUUUGAAGCUAGAGGUGUCAGAAAAGUUAUCACAGGGAUAAUAGGCUUGUGGCAGCCAAGCGUUCAUAGCGACAUUACUUUUUUCACCUUCGAUGUCGGCUCUUCCUAUCUUUGUGAAGCAGAAUUCACCAAGUGUUUGAUUGUUCACCCACCAAUAGGUAACGUGAGCUGGGUAUAGACCAUCAUGAGACAUAUUAGUUUUACCCUUCUGAUGACAGUGU